rnacentral:rRNA from 1 species
UACAGAGGGUGCGAGCGUUAAUCGGAAUUACUGGGCGUAAAGCGUGCGUAGACGGUAAUGUAAGUCGGGUGUGAAAUCCCCGGGCUUAACCUGGGAAUUGCGUUGGAGACUGCAAGGCUGGAGUCUGGCAGAGGGGGGUAGAAUUCCACGUGUAGCAGUGAAAUGCGUAGAGAUGUGGAGGAACACCGAUGGCGAAGGCAGCCCCCUGGGUCAAGACUGACGCUCAUGCACGAAAGCGUGGGGAGCAAACAGG